CUUCUUGUGGUGUAGUUGGCAACGCGCCUGUCUUGUGAGUAGUAGUCGUGAGUUCGAGUCUCACCGAGGGGA
rfam:Aedes albopictus isolate Foshan contig110936, whole genome shotgun sequence.